GACCCGUUAUACGGUAUAAAUUCCUCUAAAAAACACGCUCUCUUUUUUCUAAACCCUAGAUCUUAAUCUUCUUCCUUCUGAUGUACUCUUUCUUUUCUCUUCUGAUCCAAUCCAGAUGAUUCAAGCUUCAAUAAUCAUGUCGUCUCCAGAAUUCUAGCCCUCACUCUCAUCGGGAUUUCUCAUCUCUCUGUAGAGAUGUGUUGUUGAUAUACAAUAUCAGAGUGGAAUCAAAAUCCUCAUCUUCAUCUUCAUCUUCUGACUUGAUACAGAGCUGGUGUGGGAUCUGAGUUUGUUCUUCAUCUAGGGUAGGGUUUUUAGGGUUUUGAUGAUGAGAGAAAUUGUGUGACGGGCUUGCCUUGCUCUCAAGAAAUCGGGUUCCCAAACCAGAUGUAGAAAACAAAUUCCAAAACCCAGGGAAAAGAGUAUGAGAGAAGAGACGAGAGGAGAGUUGAAGGGGAUCCAGGCAAAUCAUCGUCGUCAAUCUGUCUCUCUGCCCUGAGAUGGUGAACUGGCGAACACAGAACGAAGCAGACAACGGAGCAGCUUUUCAAGCAUGUGGAUGGCGUGUGGACCGAAGCCGAAGCUACAACAAAAAAGGUUUUCGAGAACCUUAAGGAAAAGGUUUCUGCUGCUACAGAGGAGGUGAAAGAAACGCUAGGAAUUGGGAAGCAGGAGACCUCAGAAUCUGCCAGCUCAUCAGCUAGCGGUGCUUCGGCAGAAAAAGAAGGCGAGAAUGAUAAGCAAUCAGCAAGUGGAGAAGAUACGAAACAGCAAUCCGGGUAUGCUGAAUCAGCAGGAACGAUAUUUAGCAAGGUUCGGUCUGGAGUUUCAUAUUCCUAUCAAAAGGCCCAAGAUGCAAAGGUCCUUGAUUUGGCCAAAAAGGGUUAUGACAUUGUGAAAGACGAGUUAAAUGGUAGCUCGAGUAAGAGGAAACGGGCCCAAGCCGCCUCUACUGCUGCUUCUCAAGCUAAUGUUGAAAGAAGCGAUAGAACAAAUAUCACCAUUGUGCCUGUAAAACAGUCACCAUUUAGCAAGACAUGGGAGGCGUUCAAGGCGAAAAUGCAAGGUAAUCCAAUCUUUAAGCGCGUUAGCGGCAUCAGUGAACCUGUCAUGACAAAGGGUCAAGAGAUUGCAGAAGAUAUGCGUGAAAGAUGGUUGGAAGGGAAUAUAUCUGUGAAGUUUAUAUCCUUUCACAUGAAACAACUAAUUACUUACUCAAAUAUAUAAUAUGCUCAGGCUGCAAUUUCAUAUCCUUUUUUGUCACUCUUAUAACCUCUUGUAAAAUUGAAUGGUAUUCAUGGCAUUAGAAACUUUAAAAACCAGCUAAUUUAGUACUUUGGUAUUGUAGACUAAAUUGAUGUCAUAUAUUAUUACGUGGUAAUCGAUAAAAUUUUAUAGAACGCAUAAUGGGUAAUUCCAAUCAUAAGAAAUAUUUAGAGAUUUUAUAAAUUAUAAUUGUUUCCGUUACUCAACCUGUGUAAUACACGGGUCUGUAAAUAUCCAAACCAACAAAGACAUUUAAUAUGCCAUGCUUUUUGUAUGAUUUUAAUUAUGUAUUAAUCAUAAAUAGAUUUUAAUAUGUCAUCCGACCUUUUGGGUUGGUUCUUUUUGUAGAAGGGACUCGAUUUACUUAAGAAAAGCUUUUGGCAACUAAAGGAUAUGCAACAUCAAAGGGACUCAACUAUCUUCAUUAUAUUUCUAUUUUGUCAGUAAUUUAUGUAAUAUGACACUUUGUUGGUAUUUUUUGGUCUCUAAGGCUUGUGGAUGUUUCUUGCUCUAAGGAGUAACUUAGAAACAAUGGGUGCAUGGACCAGUCAAAUUGAGCAAAGAAAAAUUGCUAAGCCAGUUCAGGGUGCACUGGGCGAGAAUAUGAUCUAUUGAGUUACAGCAGACCUUGUAUACUAAGUACAUGUUUGGUUUUGUGAUGCGGCUGGGUCUUAAUACAACGUCAGUCUACAUAUACAUGGCUGGUAAGAGCUGGUCGCAUCAACCUUUCAUUUGGUUCUGCAGCGCUUGGUUUCAUCCUGUUAAAGGUUCCAGGGGUAAAGUGGUCCAUAAUGCUGAUGACUUUUCUGAGUUUGCUCUUCAGUAUCUGGCUGCCCGAGCCUGGCCCAUGUUAUUAAAUUAAAACUAAAAUUAUUAUAUUAUAUACUAUCAAUUUGCAACAAGUUGGUGCAAUAAUUGUUGUACUUUAUUUAAAGUUAUUUGUAGGAAGCUUUCUUCACACAUCUCUUCUACAAAA